rnacentral:rRNA from 1 species
GAUGAACGCUGGCGGCGUGCCUAAUACAUGCAAGUCGAGCGAACAGACGAGGAGCUUGCUCCUCUGACGUUAGCGGCGGACGGGUGAGUAACACGUGGAUAACCUACCUAUAAGACUGGGAUAACUUCGGGAAACCGGAGCUAAUACCGGAUAAUAUAUUGAACCGCAUGGUUCAAUAGUGAAAGACGGUUUUGCUGUCACUUAUAGAUGGAUCCGCGCCGCAUUAGCUAGUUGGUAAGGUAACGGCUUACCAAGGCAACGAUGCGUAGCCGACCUGAGAGGGGGGUGCGCCCCGGAGGAAGUGAGCGGCGACACAGACACUGAGGGGGGGCAGAGAGUGGGACUUGUCGCAGAAGGGGGAAAGCCUGACGGAGCAACGGCGGGCGGGUGAAGAAGGUCUGCGGGUCGGAAAACUUUUUUAUUGGGGAAAAACAAAUGUGCAAGUAACGAAGCCCGUGUGACGGGAACUAAUAAAGAAGGCCCGGCUAAAUACGGG